rnacentral:rRNA from 1 species
UUUGUAUAAUGGGUCAGCGACUUAUAUUUUGUAGCGAGGUUAACCGCAUAGGGGAGCCGUAGCGAAAGCGAGUCUUAACUGGGCGCGUAGUUGCAAGGUAUAGACCCGAAACCCGGUGAUCUAGCCAUGGGCAGGUUGAAGGUUGAGUAACAUCAACUGGAGGACCGAACCCACUAACUUUGAAAAGUUAGGGGAUGACUUGUGGCUGGGGGUGAAAGGCCAAUCAAACCGGGAGAUAGCUGGUUCUCCCCGAAAGCUAUUUAGGUAGCGCCUCGGACGAAUACCAUUGGGGGUAGAGCACUGUUUGGGCUAGGGGGUCAUCCCGACUUACCAACCCUUUGCAAACUCCGAA